rnacentral:lncRNA from 1 species
UAAGUUUAUAUAUAGAUAGCUAUUAAAUACAUUUGACACUAUAAGGAGCUCUCUCUGCUUCUCUCCAUAGAGAGAGGAACAUUUGUGAGACAGUACACUAAUAUGGGGUCAAUGUUUUAAAUGCAGAUUUCAGCUACAGAAGCUACACCAGUGACAACUAUGAAUAUGGAUAUGACAACAAGCUUGGAAUUACAAGGUUGACAUCAAUGGCUGUAUUAAUAUGAGACAAGAUGGAAACGUAGAUGGCAUGCAAGAGGGUAACCUGCUACUUCUUUCACAUGAUUUUGAAUUGGUCAGAGCUCCACAAAAUCUGCUCCAACUGAUGCCAAUGGCAGAAUGCCUCUUGAUGCUCAUGGGAGCUGCACUGGACCAGCCUUGUAUCCUUUCCACACGCUUACUGUUUUUCAGGUUUCCCUGGCCAAAAAUGCUGCAUCACUCUGCACAUCUUAAUUCUGUUAAUAAAAAAAAGAUUACAGGACCUGUUCUCACAAGAACUAAGCUACUCUACAUUCAAAUUAAAAGCACCUUACAGUCAGCUGUACCGGGUUCUUCACUUGUCCAACCCAUGGAAAUGAAGAAGUUGACAUAUGUUGCAGAAAUAUUCCAAACAUUGUAAUUUUCCCAUCCUCACAAUCUUAUAUUGCAGUAAACCAGCUUUUUUGUUGGAUUUUGCAAAUAAAACAGCACCUGGCACAGUAAAUAAAACA